AGUGAACGCUGGCGGUAGGCCUAACACAUGCAAGUCGAACGGCAGCACAGUAAGAGCUUGCUCUUACGGGUGGCGAGUGGCGGACGGGUGAGGAAUACAUCGGAAUCUACUUUUUCGUGGGGGAUAACGUAGGGAAACUUACGCUAAUACCGCAUACGACCUACGGGUGAAAGCAGGGGAUCUUCGGACCUUGCGCGAUUGAAUGAGCCGAUGUCGGAUUAGCUAGUUGGCGGGGUAAAGGCCCACCAAGGCGACGAUCCGUAGCUGGUCUGAGAGGAUGAUCGGCCACACUGGAACUGAGACACGGUCCAGACUCCUACGGGAGGCAGCAGUGGGGAAUAGUGGACAAUGGGCGCAAGCCUGAUCCAGCCAUACCGCGUGGGUGAAGAAGGCCUUCGGGUUGUAAAGCCCUUUUGUUGGGAAAGAAAAGCAGCAGGUUAAUACCCCGCUGUUCUGACGGUACCCAAAGAAGAAGCACCGGCUAACUUCGUG
rnacentral:rRNA from 1 species